rnacentral:tRNA from 1 species
UAGACAGAUGCUCGCUGGCUUGGGCGCUUAGCUGUUAACUAAGAUUUUGCGGGAUCGAGGCCCGCCUGUCUAG